AGUGAACGCUGGCGGUAGGUUUAACACAUGCAAGUCGAACGGCAGCACAGUAAGAGCUUGCUCUUACGGGUGGCGAGUGGCGGACGGGUGAGGAAUACAUCGGAAUCUACUUUUUCGUGGGGGAUAACGUAGGGAAACUUACGCUAAUACCGCAUACGACCUACGGGUGAAAGCAGGGGAUCUUCGGACCUUGCGCGAGUGAAUGAGCCGAUGUCGGAUUAGCUAGUUGGCGGGGUAAAGGCCCACCAAGGCGACGAUCCGUAGCUGGUCUGAGAGGAUGAUCAGCCACACUGGAACUGAGACACGGUCCAGACUCCUACGGGAGGCAGCAGUGGGGAAUAUUGGACAAUGGGCGCAAGCCUGAUCCAGCCAUACCGCGUGGGUGAAGAAGGCCUUCGGGUUGUAAAGCCCUUUUGUUGGGAAAGAAAAGCAGCAGGUUAAUACCCCGCUGUUCUGACGGUACCCAAAGAAUAAGCACCGGCUAACUUCGUG
rnacentral:rRNA from 1 species